rnacentral:lncRNA from 1 species
AGCUCUUCAGUCAAGGGAAAACAAAUAGUCAUUCUUUCUCUUGCCAAAAACAAUUUGCUAACCCAUCAUCUGCCCAGAAGACAAACGGAAAAUAAAAGACAACCGCGGCCCCAUACAGUGACAAAUCCAUAGAAGAAACCCAUAGAAUUCCAGUCAACUCAGCGUGGAGCUGCCAAGACAGCACCGUGGGGCCCUGAUAUGACAACCGACAGAGGCCAGUCCCUCUCUGUGAUUCUCACCUACCCUCAUCAUUGACUUUAUCCAGCCCUGUUACCUCCACACAGAAAACAGAGGUCCAAGCAAGUGAAGAAGUCUGAUAAGGUAUCGGGCAGGGAGUAGCAGAGACUGCACCAGAGCUUAUGUGUUCUGGCUUCUGAUCUGGCCUUUUUCUCCAGCACUACCCCACAAUGAAAGGCACCUUGUGCACAGUGGGGUGGGGUGCCCAGCCGGAAUUUGUUCUCCUUAGGUUAGUUUCCAAAUCAGUCUCCAUGGUAUCAGAGCCGUUACUCUAAUCAAAGAGUCUCCAGAACUCGGGCUCUGGGUGGUAAAGUCCGGCUCGUUUCAGUGUUACUUGUUUUGUUUUUGGAAAGUGGAGGGAAGUGGAGCUAAAUAAAAGUAUCAUUUUUACUCGAUGACCU